UGGGGAAUAUUGGACAAUGGGCGAAAGCCUGAUCCAGCCAUGCCGCGUGUGUGAAGAAGGUCUUCGGAUUGUAAAGCACUUUAAGUUGGGAGGAAGGGCAGUAAGCGAAUACCUUGCUGUUUUGACGUACCGACAGAAUAAGCACCGGCUAACUCUGUGCCAGCAGCCGCGGUAAUACAGAGGGUGCGAGCGUUAAUCGGAUUUACUGGGCGUAAAGCGUGCGUAGGCGGCUAAUUGAGUCGGAUGUGAAAUCCCCGAGCUUAACUUGGGAAUUGCAUUCGAUACUGGUUAGCUAGAGUGUGGGAGAGGAUGGUAGAAUUCCAGGUGUAGCGGUGAAAUGCGUAGAGAUCUGGAGGAAUACCGAUGGCGAAGGCAGCCAUCUGGCCUAACACUGACGCUGAGGUACGAAAGCAUGGGGAGCAAACAGG
rnacentral:rRNA from 1 species